rnacentral:tRNA from 1 species
GGCGCUGUCGUCUAGCGGCCCAGGACACUGCCCUUUCAAGGCGGAGAUCGUCGGUUCAAAUCCGACCAGCGCUA